rnacentral:rRNA from 1 species
UACGAAGGUGGCUAGCGUUGUUCGGAUUUACUGGGCGUAAAGCGCGUGUAGGCGGAUCGUUAAGUCGGGGGUGAAAGCCCAGAGCUCAACUCUGGAAUUGCCUUCGAUACUGGCGGUCUGGAGCAGAGAAGAGGCGAGUGGAAUUCCGAGUGUAGAGGUGAAAUUCGUAGAUAUUCGGAGGAACACAAGUGGCGAAGGCGGCUCGCUGGUCCCUUGCUGACGCUGAGACGCGAAAGCGUGGGGAGCAAACAGG